rnacentral:sRNA from 1 species
UUGCAUGAGGGAUAGAGGCGGUAUCCUUUUAUGAAGAGAAGCGGAAUAAAAGAUAUAGCCGAAAGCCCCGACGCGCU